UUCUCCCUCUCUCAACCAAAUCGCCCCCAAAUCCGCCUCGCCUCAUUCCGCCUUGCCGACGGCGCUGAACAAAUCCCGCCUCGCCGCAAAUCCAACUGGUGCUCUCGGGAGGGGUUCGGCGUCGCGAGGGGUCUGCGCGUCGAAUUGCUCUCGCGCGUAGCACGGUGGCCGCGGGGAGCGGCUCGCGACGCGAGUUCCACGACCAUGCAGAGCGGCAGUUGCGGGGGAAGGAGGCGAAGUGCGGUGGGCCUCGUCUGGGGCGGCGGGAAGGAAGUAGGCGGUUCAUCGUCGCGCGAACCAAGGUAAAAAGAUGACUGAACCAAGCAAAAAGCGUGAUCAAUUGCAGUCAGCAGUGUCGCAGCUUGAAGGGGGUCACCCUGCCACUUCUGAAGCUACACUGGAGGAACCUAUAUCACAGGACCAAGGUGUUUCAACAACAGUUGUUUACAAGCGCCAGCGCCGAAAGAUGAUGUCAAACCGGGGGAAGCGGCCUACGGAUAUUGCUACCUCUUGAGCACUGCGUUGGUUUUCCCUUGAAGAGGAAAGGGUGAUGCAGUAAAGUAGCGUAAGUAUUUUCCUCAGUUUUUGAGAACCAAUGUAUCAAUCCAGUAGGAGAUCACGCACAAGUCCC